GUUUACUAGGGAAUGCAUGUCUACGGACAAGACAUUUUUUCACUUUAUUUGUAUAUCCAACUUUGAUGGCAUAUAUCUCCAGCUAGGGUACUGCAAUUUUGAUAAAUGAGGUAGUUUUUGAUAAUGUAUAUACUAAAAGAGAAAACAAAACACAUAAUAGCAUAAAUUUGAUUUAUUUUUCUCUUUUAUCACUACACUGAGCAAGCUAAAAACAAAAGUACAAAAUUUCAUAACGAGCGC
rnacentral:lncRNA from 1 species